rnacentral:ribozyme from 1 species
GAAAGAGAAAGAGAGAGAAAAAAGAAAAAGAAAGAGAGAAAGAGAGGUAUAUAAUUGCUUUUUGACCAGCAUCACAUUUCAUCUCAUUUUUCAUAUCACUUUCUC